rnacentral:rRNA from 1 species
CCGGGUUGGUAAACUGCUUUUGUCAGGGGAAUAAACCUCGAUACGUGUAUCGAGCUGAAUGUACUCUGAGAAUAAGGAUCGGCUAACUCCGUGC